rnacentral:rRNA from 1 species
GACAGAGGGUGCAAACGUUGUUCGGAAUUACUGGGCGUAAAGCGCGUGUAGGCUGCUCGGAAAGUCGGAUGUGAAAGCCCUGGGCUCAACCUAGGAAGAGCAUUCGAAACUCCCGAGCUUGAGUUCCGGAGAGGAAGGCGGAAUUCUCGGUGUAGAGGUGAAAUUCGUAGAUAUCGAGAGGAACACCGGUGGCGAAGGCGGCCUUCUGGACGGUGACUGACGCUGAGACGCGAAAGCGUGGGGAGCAAACAGG